rnacentral:rRNA from 1 species
UACGUAGGGUGCAAGCGUUAAUCGGAAUUACUGGGCGUAAAGCGUGCGCAGGCGGUUUUGUAAGUCUGUUGUGAAAUCCCCGGGCUCAACCUGGGAAUGGCAAUGGAGACUGCAAGGCUAGAGUUUGGCAGAGGGGGGUAGAAUUCCACGUGUAGCAGUGAAAUGCGUAGAGAUGUGGAGGAACACCGAUGGCGAAGGCAGCCCCCUGGGUCAAGAUUGACGCUCAUGCACGAAAGCGUGGGGAGCAAACAGG